GACGAACGCUGGCGGCGUGCUUAACACAUGCAAGUCGAACGGAAAGGCCCUGCUUGCAGGGUACUCGAGUGGCGAACGGGUGAGUAACACGUGGGUGAUCUGCCCUGCACUUCGGGAUAAGCCUGGGAAACUGGGUCUAAUACCGGAUAGGAGCCAUUUUUAGUGUGAUGGUUGGAAAGUUUUUUCGGUGUAGGAUGAGCUCGCGGCCUAUCAGCUUGUUGGUGGGGUAAUGGCCUACCAAGGCGGCGACGGGUAGCCGGCCUGAGAGGGUGGACGGCCACAUUGGGACUGGAAUACGGCCCAGACCCAUCCGGGGGGCAGGAGUGGGGAAUUUUGCAAAAGGGGCGCAAGCCUGAUGCAGCGACCCCGGGGGGGGGAUGCCGGCCUUCGGGUUUUAAACUCCUUUCGCUAGGGACGAAGCUUUUUGGGGCGGUACCAAGAAAAGAAGCACCGGCUAACUACGG
rnacentral:rRNA from 1 species